rnacentral:rRNA from 1 species
ACGGGAGGCAGCAGUGGGGAAUAUUGCACAAUGGGGGAAACCCUGAUGCAGCGACGCCGCGUGAGCGAAGAAGUAUUUCGGUAUGUAAAGCUCUAUCAGCAGGGAAGAAAAUGACGGUACCUGACUAAGAAGCCCCGGCUAACUACGUGCCAGCAGCCGCGGUAAUACGUAGGGGGCAAGCGUUAUCCGGAUUUACUGGGUGUAAAGGGAGCGCAGGUGGCAUGGCAAGCCAGAAGUGAAAACCCGGGGCUCAACCCCGUGGAUUGCUUUUGGAACUGUCAGGCUUGAGUACUGGAGGGGUAAGCGGAAUUCCUAGUGUAGCGGUGAAAUGCGUAGAUAUUAGGAAGAACACCGGUGGCGAAGGCGGCUUACUGGACAGCAACUGACACUGAGGCUCGAAAGCGUGGGGAGCAAACAGGAUUAGAUACCCUGGUA